rnacentral:rRNA from 1 species
AUUGAACGCUGGCGGCAGGCCUAUCACAUGCAAGUCGAACGAGUGGCGGACGGGUGAGUAAUGUCUGGGAAACUGCCUGAUGGAGGGGGAUAACGACUGGAAACGGUAGCUAAUACCGCAUACCAUCAGAUGUGCCCAGAUGGGAUUAGCUAGUAGGUGGGGUAAUGGCUCACCUAGGCGACGAUCCCUAGCUGGUCGGAGAGGAUGACCAGCCACACUGGAACUGAGCCACGGUCCAGACCCUGACGGGAGGCAGAAGUGGGGAAUAUUGCCCAAUGGGCGCAAGCCUGAUGCAGCCAUGCCGCGUGUAUGAAGAAGGCCUUCGGGUUGUAAAGUACUUUCAGCGGGGAGGCGUUACCCGCAGAAGAAGCACCGGCUAACUCCGUGCCAGCAGCCGCGGUAAUAC